rnacentral:tRNA from 1 species
CAGAAAAUAGUUUAAAAAAAUAUUAAUUUUGGAGAUUAAAGAUGGUUCAAUUCUUUUUCUGA